CCCCCCCCCCCCCCCCUCCUCCUCCCUCGGUCCCUCCUUCAACCGCUUCGUUUCCUCUUACGCCUCCCCCCAAAUUGAGCUCCGAUUCGGCGGCUCCUCCCGCACCGCGCACCAGUUCCACCCCCGGAAUUCGUCGCCGGACUGGCCCCGCGGAUGGAGUAACCAGUUAGGGUUCCGAAGCCGGCAAUGGAGGCGCAGUGGCUCGCCGAGUACCCGCACCAGGGCGCCGACAAGCGGCCGCGCAAGCGGCCCCGGCUCGCCUGGGAUGUCGCGCCCACGCUGUUCCAGCCCCCCAAGGCAAUUCCAAUGCUAUACUGCGGGCAGGAACUAAUUAAUGGUAGUUUUGCGACGGCUUUUCUGCCGCCGCCGCCAAUUUAUUACACCGGACCUCCGCGGAAUCUUUCACCUCCUUGGAGACCGGAUGACAAGGAUGGGCACUAUGUUUUCGCGGUUGGAGAGAAUCUGACACCAAGAUAUAGGAUACUUAGCAAGAUGGGUGAAGGGACAUUUGGACAAGUUUUGGAAUGCUGGGACUUGGAAAACCAAGAAGCAGUGGCUAUCAAGAUUGUGCGCUCCCUCCAGAAAUAUCGAGAGGCUGCUAUGAUAGAAAUUGACGUGCUUCAGAGACUUGGGAAGCAUGAUUUUACUGGCAGCCGCUGUGUGCAAAUACGGAAUUGGUUUGACUAUCGUAAUCAUAUAUGUAUAGUAUUUGAGAAGCUUGGGCCAAGCUUAUAUGACUUUCUGCGAAAGAAUAGCUACCGUUCAUUUCCGAUCGACCUUGUUCGUGAAUUUGCUAGACAAAUAUUAGAGUCUGUUGCAUUUAUGCAUGACUUGCGACUUAUUCACACGGAUCUGAAGCCAGAGAACAUUCUUCUUGUUUCAUCCGAAUCUAUCAGGGUGCCUGAUUAUAAGGUUUCUAUACGACCACCCAAGGAUGGUUCUUUCUUCAAGAACCUUCCAAAAUCUAGUGCUAUCAAGCUGAUUGAUUUUGGCAGCACGACAUUUGAACACCAAGAUCACAAUUAUGUGGUGUCGACAAGACAUUACCGCGCACCCGAAGUUAUCCUUGGUCUUGGGUGGAACUAUCCAUGUGACUUGUGGAGUGUGGGUUGUAUUUUAGUUGAGCUCUGUUCGGGGGAAGCUCUCUUUCAAACUCACGAAAAUUUGGAGCAUUUGGCUAUGAUGGAGAGGGUCUUAGGCCCCCUCCCAAAGCAUAUGAUUGUCAGAGCUGAUCGACGUGCUGAAAAGUACUUCAAGCGCGGAGUAAGGUUGGACUGGCCAGAGGGGGCGGCCUCACGAGAGAGCAUGAAGGCAGUCUGGAAAUUGCCUCGUCUUCAGAAUCUUGUUAUGCAACAUGUUGAUCAUUCUGCUGGAGAUCUAAUAGAUCUUCUUCAAGGACUUCUUCGGUAUGAUCCUAAUGAGCGCCUUAAAGCACGUGAAGCUCUACGACACCCUUUCUUUACCAGAUGCAUCAGAAGAUUUGGUUUCUGAGGCUAUACUGAGAUUGAAAAUCUCAAUGCUGUAUUUCUUCGUUUUGAUGUGUAAGAACUACAAAAAAAGUGGAGAUGUUCUACGAAAAAUGAAAUAUGCUAACUUGCAUUCUGUUCAAUGAUGUGAAAGACUCUUCAGUACUAGCAGGUAGUAUGCAGAAAUCUCUAACUAAGUGGAGUCAAUUGAGGAUAAAUGGGAUCUCAGUGGCUUGCAUGGAAGACUGGUACACUGUAUUUAAUGGUGGUAUACGGUGAGCAUUCUUGUCAACAGGUAAUCAUUUUGCAUGCAUUUUAAAUCUGAGUAUUUCUUGUGCAAGUUGGCAAGCCUUGGAUCUUUUGGUUUGUUCGUGUUUCUUUUUCGUCUUAAAAUGUGCGAGUUGGUCCAGAAACAAAACAAACGCACUCCGUUUGUUUCUACUGGUGAUGAGUUCUGCUUGAGAUGGGCUUUUUAUUUUACAAUAAGUCUGUGUAUCAUGGUCAUGCUUGGUUUUCACUGAGCUUUGAGUGUGACACAUGAAAAAAGCUUGCAAAUUGUCGGCAUAAGAAUAUAAGACAAUCUCAAUGCUGGAGCUCCACCUAGAUAACUUCUAGGCUCUAACCUUGUUCAAAAGCACUUACUACCAGCUGAGACUUUAAACUUUCCCACAGUGUUUUGGGAAUGUGGGGGCAUUUUUUUUACACCAUAACCCGUGUGAUUUUGUCCAGCUGUUUACAUGUUAUUGAGAUUUGAGAGUACACUAUGAGCAUGGAAUCAGUGAUUUA